rnacentral:SRP_RNA from 1 species
GGAAGUCCGCAACAGGACGGCGCGCGCGCCAACCCGGCCAGGGCCGAAAGGCAGCAACCGUAACGUGUUUUACCGGGUCUGGGGCGGGCUUCCACC